rnacentral:rRNA from 1 species
CCUACGGGAGGCAGCAGUGAGGAAUAUUGGUCAAUGGACGAGAGUCUGAACCAGCCAAGUAGCGUGAAGGAUGACUGCCCUAUGGGUUGUAAACUUCUUUUAUAUGGGAAUAAAAUGUUCCACGUGUGGGAUUUUGUAUGUACCUUAUGAAUAAGGAUCGGCUAACUCCGUGCCAGCAGCCGCGGUAAUACGGAGGAUCCGAGCGUUAUCCGGAUUUAUUGGGUUUAAAGGGAGGGGAGGCGGACUGUUAAGUCAGUUGUGAAAGUUUGCGGCUCAACCGUAAAAUUGCAGUUGAAACUGGCGGUCUUGAGUACAGGAGAGGUGGGCGGAAUUCGUGGGGUAGCGGUGAAAUGCUUAGAUAUCACGAAGAACUCCGAUUGCGAAGGCAGCGCACUGGACUGCAACUGACGCUGAGGCUCGAAAGUGUGGGUAUCAAACAGGAUUAGAUACCCGGGUAGUC